AUCAUUAAUAAUUUGUCACAAUUUACGUGUUCAAAUUAUGUGAGCGGCAAAACCACGCUUUUAUUUUUAAGCUAAUCUGGUGGCUUGAUGUUCACAUUACAUCUGUUAUAACUUAUGUCCAACUCGCUGCUGCAAAGCGCCUUUUUCUAGUUAAGUUAGUUUCAAUAGAACGGCUGAAACAGUUGAGUUGGACAAACAGAAAAACUGGUGAAGUGCUGUCUUUGGCUGUUGGUCUCUUUUUAUCACUCGUGUUGUGUCCAUGCGGGGGUGCAAUCGGUUAUGCGGACGAGACACUGUUGCCGUGUGCAGUUUUGGGACACGAGCGAUGCCGUUGCACCCCCGAUCUACGGGAGUUCCAGUGCCGUGGUGCGGGGUUUACUGGAGUGCCCGACUUGCCCUACACCAUCAACAAAUUGUAAGUACUGUUUUUAAAGAGAGUUUUUUCCGGAGCGGUUUUUUGAUUACGGGUACCACUCGUAACUCGUUUUAACUGGUUUCAGUUCAACUUUUUUUGAAGUGAAAACUCUUUAUGGGAGGGUGAACCGGUUUGAACCACUCCGGCCUCUUCGCGCCUGAGGCUUGGGACGCACAAGUGCAGUUUAAACUCGACAUUUUUGUCUUAGUGCGGGUGCAUCUGUAGGUCUGAUAAGCUUUUUAAAUACACAUUGCGUUAUUAAACUGA